CCGACCCCUGGUGUGGGAGUGGGGCUGCUAGAGCCACCCCAUGUGAGCUCAGGAAAGGGAGGAAUGUCACUGAGGCUGGCUGUGGCUGGGAUAACUCAGCCAGCUGUGGGUUUUUUCUUGGGGCCCAGGGAGACCUGAGCAGAGAUGGAGGCCCCUCUCCCGGCCCCCAACACACACACUAGGACCUUUCUUCC
rnacentral:lncRNA from 1 species